CUGCCUCAGCCGGUCCCAGCACUUCCAGCGGAGCCAGGAGGAAGGAAAGAAGAGUACCAGGUGGAAAAGUGGUUGAGUCCCGCUACUUGGACUACGAGAAGAAAACAACCAGGAAGCAGGCUCCUGCCACAGAUGCCUUAAAGACCGGCGGGAACACACCUGGAGGUGGA